UGACUGUGGUGUUUUCAUGCUCAUGUACUCCCUCUGGCUCUGUACGGACACUACUUUUCACUACAGUGUGCUGGACAUGCAGUCAAUCCGGCGUUGGUGGUGUGUCCUUCUAAUGGAGCGCUUUGGCAUUGAAGGGUAGGACAACUUCUUGAAAUAUCUGAUGUAUUGUUUAUCAUGAUUAGUAACUGCCUGCGAUGAGGUGACGACUUGUCCAGGGUGUACCCUGCCUUCCGCCCGAAUGCAGCUGAGAUAGGCUACAGCGACCCCCCGCGACCCCAAAAAGGGACAAGCAGUAGAAAAUGGAUGGAUGGAUGGAUGGAUUAGUAACUGUAAUCUGAAGAGCUUUUCUUCAAUUUCCCCAAAGGC